GACGAACGCUGGCGGCGUGCUUAACACAUGCAAGUCGAACGGAAAGGCCCUGCUUUUGUGGGGUGCUCGAGUGGCGAACGGGUGAGUAACACGUGAGUAACCUGCCCUUGACUUUGGGAUAACUUCAGGAAACUGGGGCUAAUACCGGAUAGGAGCUCCUGCUGCAUGGUGGGGGUUGGAAAGUUUCGGCGGUUGGGGAUGGACUCGCGGCUUAUCAGCUUGUUGGUGGGGUAGUGGCUUACCAAGGCUUUGACGGGUAGCCGGCCUGAGAGGGUGACCGGCCACGUUGGGACUGAGAUACGGCCCAGACUCCUACGGGAGGCAGCAGUGGGGAAUAUUGCACAAUGGGCGGAAGCCUGAUGCAGCAACGCCGCGUGCGGGAUGACGGCCUUCGGGUUGUAAACCGCUUUCGCCUGUGACGAAGCGUGAGUGACGGUAAUGGGUAAAGAAGCACCGGCUAACUACGUGCCAGCAGCCGCGGUGAUACGUAGGGUGCGAGCGUUGUCCGGAUUUAUUGGGCGUAAAGGGCUCGUAGGUGGUUGAUCGCGUCGGAAGUGUAAUCUUGGGGCUUAACCCUGAGCGUGCUUUCGAUACGGGUUGACUUGAGGAAGGUAGGGGAGAAUGGAAUUCCUGGUGGAGCGGUGGAAUGCGCAGAUAUCAGGAGGAACACCAGUGGCGAAGGCGGUUCUCUGGGCCUUUCCUGACGCUGAGGAGCGAAAGCGUGGGGAGCGAACAGGCUUAGAUACCCUGGUAGUCCACGCUGUAAACGGUGGGUACUAGGUGUGGGGUCCAUUCCACGGGUUCCGUGCCGUAGCUAACGCUUUAAGUACCCCGCCUGGGGAGUACGGCCGCAAGGCUAAAACUCAAAGGAAUUGACGGGGCCCCGCACAAGCGGCGGAGCAUGCGGAUUAAUUCGAUGCAACGCGUAGAACCUUGCCUGGGUUUGACAUGGAUCGGGAGCGCUCAGAGAUGGGUGUGCCUCUUUUGGGGUCGGUUCACAGGUGGUGCAUGGCUGUCGUCGGCUCGUGUCGUGAGAUGUUGGGUUAAGUCCCGCAACGAGCGCAACCCUUGUUCACUGUUGCCAGCACGUUAUGGUGGGGACUCAGUGGAGACCGCCGGGGUCAACUCGGAGGAAGGUGGGGAUGACGUCAAGUCAUCAUGCCCCUUAUGUCCAGGGCUUCACGCAUGCUACAAUGGCUGGUACAGAGAGUGGCGAGCCUGUGAGGGUGAGCGAAUCUCGGAAAGCCGGUCUCAGUUCGGAUUGGGGUCUGCAACUCGACCUCAUGAAGUCGGAGUCGCUAGUAAUCGCAGAUCAGCAACGCUGCGGUGAAUACGUUCCCGGGGCU
rnacentral:rRNA from 1 species